UCACUAGGUAUAUUUAGCAUCUGAAACUUGAGCAAGUCUAAAUCUCAUUGGCUGGCCUGACCACAUGAUAAUUUAGGAUCUGAUGCAUCAGGCUUGCUUUUGCCCAGUGUUUCUCAGGAGGGAAGAGUUGGAGAGGCUUUGCUGCUAAGGAAAGUUUGUAAAAUAUUUCUGGUUUGAAGGAAAAAAAUAGAAAAAAGCCACAAAAGCUAAGAAACGGAGCAUCCAUAAAGGCUGAUGGUGGGAAGAGAGAAAUUAACCUCAUUAAUUUAAGUGCAUAGGUGAUAGAGGAAUACUCUGUGAAAAUGGCAGACGACGAGGAGUAUGAGGAGGU